AUUGAACGCUGGCGGCAUGCUUUACACAUGCAAGUCGAACGGUAACAGGUUAAGCUGACGAGUGGCGAACGGGUGAGUAAUGCAUCGGAACGUGCCCGAUCGUGGGGGAUAACGCAGCGAAAGCUGCGCUAAUACCGCAUACGAUCUGAGGAUGAAAGCGGGGGACCGUAAGGCCUCGCGCGAUCGGAGCGGCCGAUGUCAGAUUAGGUAGUUGGUGGGGUAAAGGCUCACCAAGCCGACGAUCUGUAGCUGGUCUGAGAGGACGACCAGCCACACUGGGACUGAGACAAGGCCCAGACUCCUACGGGAGGCAGCAGUGGGGAAUUUUGGACAAUGGGCGCAAGCCUGAUCCAGCAAUGCCGCGUGCAGGAAGAAGGCCUUCGGGUUGUAAACUGCUUUUGUACGGAGCGAAAAGGCUCUCUCUAAUACAGGGGGCUCAUGACGGUACCGUAAGAAUAAGCACCGGCUAACUACGUGCCAGCAGCCGCAGUAA
rnacentral:rRNA from 1 species